CGCCCAACAGCUAGCCCACCCAACUAAUUUCAACACUUCCCUAUUUUUAACCCCUAAAAACCUGCAAAAACUAAAUAAAUCAUUCUUCCCCCCGAGUAUGGGCGACAGAAAAGGUAUUUGGAGCCAUAGAAACCGUACCGCAAGGGAACGCUGAAAGAGAAAUGAAAUAACUCAGUAAAGCCUUGAAAAGCAGAGACCCCCCCCUCGUACCUUUUGCAUCAUGAUUUAGCAAGUACCCCCCAAGCAAAGAGCACUUUAGUUUGAUCCCCCGAAACUAAGUGAGCUACUCCAAGACAGCCUAUAAUAUAGGGCCCCCCCGUCUCUGUGGCAAAAGAGUGGGAAGAGCUUUGAGUAGAGGUGAUAGACCUACCGAACUUAGUGAUAGCUGGUUGCCUGCGAAUUGAAUAGAAGUUCAGCCUUUCAAAUUCUUUCCUUAUCUGGAACCUCCCUCCACAACAAAAAGAAGUUAAAAGAGUUAGUCAAAGGGGGUACAGCCCCUUUGAAACAGGUACAACUUUACCCAGGCGGAUAAAGAUCAUACUAAUAAAGGUAUCAUGCUCAAGUGGGCUUAAAAGCAGCCACCCUAUCAGAUAGCGUUAAAGCUCAAGCACCUAAUAACCCCCGAUUCAGAUAACAAAUCUUACUCCCCUAACACUACCAGGCCCCUCCAUGCACCCAUGGAAGAGAUUCUGCUAAAAUGAGUAAUAAGGGAUACCCCCUCCCUCACCGCACACGUGUAAAUCGGAACGGACCCCCCACCGAAUAUUAACGGCCCCUAAACAAGUGGGCAUUGGCCUAAAAACAAAGAACAAGAAAAUCACCCAACACAAGCCCGUUAACCCCACACAGGAGUGCCCCCAAUGAAAGACUAAAAGAGAAAGAAGGAACUCGGCAAACAAGAAACCUCGCCUGUUUACCAAAAACACCGCCUCUUGAAAAAAAUAAGAGGUCCCGCCUGCCCUGUGACCCUGUGGUUUAACGGCCGCGGUAUUUUGACCGUGCAAAGGUAGCGCAAUCACUUGUCUUUUAAAUGAAGACCCGUAUGAAUGGCAUAACGAGGGUUUAACUGUCUCCUUUCUCCAGUCAAUGAAAUUGAUCUCCCCGUGCAGAAGCGGGGAUGUACACAUAAGACGAGAAGACCCUGUGGAGCUUAAGACCCCAAGACAGCCCGUCCUAAAUCCUCUCGGCUAUAAGACGUAAAACUUUUCGGCCCCUGUCUUACUGUCUUUGGUUGGGGCGACCACGGGGGAACAAAAAGCCCCCAUGCGGACCGGGGAGUUCUCCUCACAUCUAAGAGCCUCAGCUCUAAUAAACAGAAUUUCUGACCCACAGAUCCGGCAAAGCCGAUCAACGAACCGAGUUACCCCAGGGAUAACAGCGCAAUCCUCUUCUAGAGCCCCUAUCGACAAGAGGGUUUACGACCUCGAUGUUGGAUCAGGACAUCCUAAUGGUGCAGCCGCUAUUAAGGGUUCGUUUGUUCAACGAUUAAAGUCCU
rnacentral:rRNA from 1 species